AUUGAACGCUGGCGGAAUGCUUUACACAUGCAAGUCGAACGGCAGCACGGACUUCGGUCUGGUGGCGAGUGGCGAACGGGUGAGUAACAUAUCGGAACGUAUCCAAUAAUGGGGGAUAACGAGUCGAAAGAUUCGCUAAUACCGCAUACGCCCUACGGGGGAAAGCUGGGGACCUUCGGGCCUGGCGUUAAUGAAGCGGCCGAUAUCUGAUUAGCUAGUUGGUGAGGUAAAGGCUCACCAAGGCGACGAUCAGUAGCUGGUCUGAGAGGACGACCAGCCACACUGGAACUGAGACACGGUCCAGACUCCUACGGGAGGCAGCAGUGGGGAAUUUUGGACAAUGGGCGCAAGCCUGAUCCAGCCAUUCCGCGUGAGUGAAGAAGGCCUUCGGGUUGUAAAGCUCUUUCGCAAGGGAAGAAAACUUAGCCACUAACAUUGGUUGAGGUUGACGGUACCUUGAUAAGAAGCACCGGCUAACUACGUGCCAGCAGCCGCCGUAA
rnacentral:rRNA from 1 species